UGAUAUUCAAAUGUAUGAUUUAUUUAAGGUAGGUGCACAGACACACACAGACACAGAUAGACACACAUACACAAAAAAAAAAUACACACACAAACACACGCCUGUGAAAACAUGAAUCACUUUCUCUCUGGCUCUACGCUGACAUCUAGCGAUGCCGCUUAACCAACCAGAGCGCAGCUGAGAGAGAGAACAAUAACAACCUGCGUUAUGAGCGCAUGGCCUUGUAAACUGUAGGGACCAUGUGCGCUCAAACAAUAACCUUGUUAGAGCAACAAUAAACACGUUGGUGGAUGCUUGUGUUAUGAUUUAUCUAAUGGGUACUCUUUAUGAGAUUUCAUUAAUAAACAAAGAUCCGUUUAUAUUAUAAAUGUAUAUUGUAUCAUGUCUUUUCGAUCCCUGUCAUGGCUGGCGUUGGUUUAAUAGAAUAUACCAUUUAAUAACAUUUACUGAAAUAGUUUACUUUCUUUUGUAUUUAUAUAAUCUAAUUCCAGAUUAACUUAAUCCACAUUGCAUUGAACUAAUGCAUUUCUAUUUAUAAGCAUGGGUCUUAUUUUUGAGAAAGGCGGCAGAGGAAGGACUGCGAAGUUUUGACUCUCGGUUGGGUUCGGUCAGACAGGAAUGAGGUCAGAUACACGAAUGUUCAUUGCAGACCGAUUAUUAUUACACGGUUUAUUCAGCCAAUGGACUCCGACUGGGCGUGGUUUUGGACAAAAACAGGAUAGAGACAGCCUGUGAUUGGCUGAUUAGUGUAGCCUUUAUUUCUCGCGAAGGGGAUAUAAAACUGUGUAGUGUUGAACGUUAUGUUUACAGUAUACUGGCAGACCGAUAAGGAAAGAGAGGACUAUGAAAAAGUGCGACACUUCCAUUCUUCCACAUGGUUCUGUCACUGCUAAGGCGAGCUGCGCAGACAGCGAUAUUAUACCUCUCAUAAGGAAAGAGAGGACUAUGAAAAAGUGCGACACUUCCAUUCUUCCACAUGGUUCUGUCACUGCUAAGGCGAGCUGCGCAGACAGCGAUAUUAUACCUCUCAUAGGAAAGUUACAGUGUUGUUUUCAGCAGCGAAGUGCUCUAGGUAUCGCAGGGCGAGUUUUCAGUCGCACUGGCAGUUGAACGUUUGAUUGCAGAACGUUGAAGGAUUUUAACGUGUUAUUUCGUUCUCUCUUUUUUUUGAAGAUAUACUCGCACUAGCGACUAACUGCGCAGCGUCUCCAAAACGGACUGAAAGAUAGAGGAGACUUGCAAUAACUUUUACGCAAUCCGUCCAGUGUGGUUCCAUAAACAUACGUUUAUUGAGUGACUGAAAGAAAACCGAUGAUAUAACAGCAUUGGCAACUUUUACGCACUUUGUCACCAUAACAUAAUUCUGAACAGCACUUUUUUUGGUACGUUUUCUGUCUAACCGAGAGAUUGAGAAA
rnacentral:lncRNA from 13 species